UAGGGAAUCUUCCGCAAUGGGCGAAAGCCUGACGGAGCAACGCCGCGUGAGUGAUGAAGGUCUUCGGUUCGUAAAACUCUUUUAUUAGGGAAGAACAAAUGUGUAAGUAACUAUGCACGUCUUGACGGUACCUAAUCAGAAAGCCACGUCUAACUACGUGCCAGCAGCCGCGGUAAUACGUAGGUGGCAAGCGUUAUCCGGAAUUAUUGGGCGUAAAGCGCGCGUAGGCGGUUUUUUAAGUCUGAUGUGAAAGCCCACGGCUCAACCGUGGAGGGUCAUUGGAAACUGGAAAACUUGAGUGCAGAAGAGGAAAGUAGAAUGUCAUGUGUGGCGGUGUAAUGCGCAGAGAUAUGGAGGAAAACCAGUGGCGAAGGGGACUUUAUGGUCUGUAACUGACGCUGAUGGGCGAAAGCGUGGGGAUCAAACAGG
rnacentral:rRNA from 1 species